rnacentral:sRNA from 1 species
CCUAGGGUUGAAACCCUAGGCUAUAUUAUUGAAUCCUUUCAGGAUU